UUAUUAGCCCUUUCACUGGUUUUUUUAACUUAUCUUUGUGAAUUUAUCUACCUUUGGUCCUUAAUGUUGGUGACCUUUGCAUGGAGUUUUUGUGUAGUCAUGCUUUUUGUUGAUACUGAUGUUACUGCUUUCUGUUUGUUAGUUUUCCUUCUAAGAGUCAGGUCCCUCUUCUGCAGGUCUGCUAGAGUCUGCUGGAGGUCAAAAAAUACCUUUUUGCCUGGGUAUUAUCAGUAGAGGCUUCAGAACA